GGAUUGUGGCUCAGCGGUAGAGCGCUCACCUAGCACCAGCGGGACCCGGGUUCAAUCCUCAGCACCA
rnacentral:tRNA from 1 species